CAGCCGCCGCGGUAAUACGUAGGGUGCGAGCGUUAAUCGGAAUUACAGGGCGUAAAGCGUGCGCAGGCGGUUAUAUAAGACAGAUGUGAAAUCCCCGGGCUCAACCUGGGACCUGCAUUUGUGACUGUAUAGCUAGAGUACGGUAGAGGGGGAUGGAAUUCCGCGUGUAGCAGUGAAAUGCGUAGAUAUGCGGAGGAACACCGAUGGCGAAGGCAAUCCCCUGGACCUGUACUGACGCUCAUGCACGAAAGCGUGGGGAGCAAACAGGAUUAGAUACCCGUGUAGUCCCUGUCUCUUAUAC
rnacentral:rRNA from 1 species